rnacentral:rRNA from 1 species
GGCUCAGAACGACCGCUGGCGGCGUGGAUUAGGCAUGCAAGUCGAGCGAGAAAGGGGUCUUCGGACCCUGAGUAAAGCGGCGAACUGGUGAGUAACAGGUGGGUAACGUGCCCCGAAGUGGGGGAUAACACGCGGAAACGCGUGCUAAUACCGCAUAUGACCCCUCGGACCCUGGUCUGAGUGGUUAAAGACUUUGGUCGCUACGGGAUCGGCCCGCCCCCGAUUAGCUAGUUGGUGAGGUAAUGGCUCACCAAGGCGACGAUCGGUAGCUGGUCUGAGAGGAUGGUCAGCCACACUGGAACUGAGAUACGGUCCAGACUCCUACGGGGGGCAGCAGUCUAGAGGCUUCGGCAAUGGGGGCAACCCUGACCGAGCGACGCCGCGUGUGGGAUUGAAGGCCCUCGGGUCGUAAACCACUGUCAAGAGGAAAGAAUACCCGAAUGGUGAAUUCGGGGGAGACGGUACCUCUGAAGGAAGCCCCGGCUAACUCCGUGCCAGCAGCCGCGGUAAUACGGAGGGGGCAAGCGUUGUUCGGAUUUACUGGGCAUAAAGGGUGUGUAGGCGGUCGCGUAAGUCUGGUGUGAAAUCUUCGCCGCUUAACGGGAAGGGUGCACUGGAAACUACGUGACUCGAGUGUGGUAGAGGCAGGCGGAAUUCCUGGUGUAGCGGUGGAAUGUGUAGAUAUCAGGAAGAACACCGGUGGCGAAGGCGGCCUGCUGGGCCACCACUGACGCUGAAACACGAAAGCGUGGGGAGCAAACGGGAUUAGAUACCCCGGUAGUCCACGCUGUAAACUGUGCGCACUAGGUGUGGGAGGUAUCGACCCCUCCCGUGCCGCAGUUAAUACAUUAAGUGCGCCGCCUGGGAAGUACGGCCGCAAGGUUGAAACUCAAAG